AAACAUUAAAAUUCAGUGAUGAUUAAAUCUAUGUCUAUUAACAACAUGUAUUUCAUUACAAAUGUUAAUUGAUUGGAAUUCAAAAUGUUUUCUUUUAUAAAUAUUUUUCACUCUUUCAAUGAAAAAUCAAAUUGAAUUAAAAUUAAAAAUUACAUAAUAACUUAUCUUCAACUUCUCAACUAAAUCAAGUCUCAAUAUAUAAAUAUAUUUAUACAUUUUAUUUUUAUGAAAAAGUCAAAUUAUGUAUCCUAAUUAACGAUGGAUAACUGUCAAAAUAGAGGAUUAACUACCCAAGAAGCUCUUCAUAUUUUGUAUGAUGAGAUAGUGUUACUUAGAAAUAAUAUCAAACAACACCAAAAAAUUAAUGGAAAAGACAAAUUAUGGAUUUAUGAUGCAUUUUAUCACACUAGUCCAUGUACAAGUAUCUGUUGGAUUACUGCUCUUGUAACUUUUAUUAGUACAUUUUUACUAUUUGUCAUAAGUCUUGUUUAUGAUGAACUGCGAUAUUUAUUUGAUGAUAGUUUGAUGUUAUUUGUGUUGUUAUCUAUAAAUGUUGCAUUAGUUAUGUGGGAUAAUAAAUUAAGACAUGAAGAAAUGUUUACUAAACUUGAUCAUGUUUUGAAAAAACUCAAUGUUUUUAAAGACAAGUGUCACUGGAAAAAGGAAAAUUAUCCUCAUUUGUGUAUGCCUUUUUCACCAUCUGUUACCUUACAAUGGACUCAGCGAGAUGGAAUUCUUGUCAAUUUACCUUGGGCUUUAUUAGUUAAAGGAGAUAUUGUUCUUUUAAAGCCUGGACAAACUUCUCCAUGUCAUGCUACUAGACUUUAUGAGAAAGACAAAUGGGCACCAGCAGAAUUAACCCGUUGGGAAAUAUUUAAUCCUGAUAUUCCUACAACAUCUAGUAAAACUACAGUUCCUUCUAUAAUAUCUCGUAUACCAUUAAAAAAUGUUCCAUAUAUUUUAAAUGAAACACCAUAUUUACAUAAUUUGAAAAUUGCUUUGGAUCUUGCACAAAAUCGACCAUGUAGUUUAUAUACAAAAUGUUUAUAUCUAUUGCAAAUAAUAUUUGUGCAAAAAUUUGCUGCUGCUUUUUUUUUGGGAUGUUCAAUUAUUACUAUUUGGUGGAGAUGGUCAUAUAUAACACUUUGGCUAAAACCAGGUUCUUGGGUUGUUAUGUUUAUUGUAUUACCAAUUUCAAUAAUCAUUCCACUUUUACCACUAAUGUUACCAGUUGCUUGGAUAUUGCUAAAUUGUUAUGGAAAUGCUUUGUUACAAUCUUCUUCAAUUGUUCAGAUAAACAAAGAUUUAUUUGAGGAGACUGAAACAGAAGUGAAGAACAAUUCAUUAGAAAUUUCGCUGAAAGAUUUGUGGGGAAAUUUUUAUUCUUGUAUUCUAGGAAAUGCUAAUUUUUUACAUAGAUCAACUAAUUUAUUGCAUGUAAUGGGAUCAGUUACGGCACUAUGUUGUGUUGAUAAAAAAGGAAUCCUUUCUUGGCCCAAUCCUACAGCUGAAAAAGUAUUUUUUUUUAAAAACUCUUCUAAAGCUGUAUCUAGACCAUCAAGUUUUGCAGAUAAUUCUAAUUAUGAAACUCAAAGAAAGAGUUACGAUAGUUCCUUAUUUAACACUGAAGCAGCGUAUGCAGUUGAAGUACUUGAUUUGACUCAUGAUCGGGGUUCAGCAUGGAGAUUGCAAUUUGAUGAUGCAAGUUGGUCAAGUCAUUUAUCCUCUUUAAAACCAUUAGGUCUUGCAGUACUUUUAAAUACAUGUAACCCAUCAACUCAUGCUCAUUAUGCUAAAUUUUGUGCACAUGUAUCUUGUCAAGCCCUAUAUAGUGAAGUUCUUGUUCCUGUUACUAAUAGAAGGUGUCUCUGUGAAUUAGCUCGUCAAAUUGGAUUUUCAGAAUCUGCUGACAAUAUAUUUGAGCUUCAGUUACAAUUGUCAACUUAUAGACAUGUUCAACUAGAUGUUGUCCGUAGAGACAUCAAAUUUGUCAGAUCACUGCCUAUUACCACAAAGCUAAAGUUUCCAUUUCCUCAUAUGGUAUGUGUAGGAUUGAAAGAACGCAGCAUUGAAAAAGCUGCUACUGGAUUACAAUUAUUUAGUCAAGGGACUGCUGAUAUAAUACUAGAUGCUUGCAUAGAUUAUUGGGAUGGCCAUGAUCUCAAUCCUAUAUCUCCAGCUAUUAGGAAAAAGGUGUUAGAUUUUUAUCAAAGAACAAGCUUAACAGCUUAUUGCACAGCUUUUUCUUAUCGUCCAUUACCUCUGUGUCCGGAUAAAAGUUUUUCAGAAGUGUAUUUAGAGUUACCUGCAGAUUGUCGUCAUUUAUACUCGAAAAUAUGUCGUAGUCCUACACCACACCCUUGGUCUACGACUGCACAUUCCUUAAAACAACCACAAUUUCACUCAUCAGAUUCAUUGCUAUUUGGUGAUUGUCAUUAUAAUUCUAAAGAUGUGAACAAUUGUUUUCAAACACAAUGUAAUCAGAUAUUUUUAGGAAUGGUCACAAUGCAAUAUCAGCCUCAAUAUGAUAUGGUUCAGUUAAUUGAACUUUUAGAAAAAGCUUGCAUAAGAUUUGUACAUUUUAGUAAAGAAAAUGAGCUUAGAUCAAGAGUAUUUUCUGAAAAAAUGGGAUUAGAAAGUGGAUGGAAUUGUCAUAUUUCAUUGCUUGGAGAUACUCAAACAAGAACACGCUUGGAUCCUAGUGAGGGUGCAGCAACCUGUGAUGAUGAAACCAGCUUUUUGAUACCACUAACAUCAACCAGUCAGUCGAGGAAAAAACUAGCUGAACAUGAACAUAAUUUAUCGGCUGAUUCUUUUCCUCCUCUGAAUCUUAAUUGUGCGGCAUCAAAUAUGUCUAGAACAAUAAGUAUGUCAGCACCAACUGCUCUGAAUAUGGAUUAUGCUCAAAUCACUAUUGAACAAGAUGGAGAGAAAAUAAUAAAACCAAUGCUUAUUCAAAAGAAUAGUCUUAUAAAGAAUGUUUUAGAAACAGAUGAUAUUGAUAAAAAUUAUGAAGACUGGCAUUCAUUAAGUUGUAUGUCAGAUAGUACUGACCAAAGUGUUCCUGUUAAUUUUGAUAUGUAUAAUAGAGCUAAACUUCCUCGUGGAAUUGAAAAUAUUCGUCCUCAUUUAGAGUGUAUUGAUAAUGUACCACUACUUGUUUCACUUUUUACUGAUUGCACUCCAGAAGCUUCGAAAGAAAUGAUAUCUAUAAUGCAACAAUAUGGUGAAGUUGUAUGUGUUUUAGGUUCAUCUCCCAAUGCAGAAAAUAUUGGAAUAUUUAUGCAAGCUGAUGCUAGUGUGGGUAUUGAACCAAUUUAUCCUCAAGUUUGUCAACGAAUUAGUAUUAUGCAUCAACCAAAUCCAAUAGAUGCACCAAUUUCACCAAUUAGUCUUUCUGAGUUAUUAAAUUCUCUUCCUUGUUGCUUAUCAUUUAACCGUCAAGACCCAUUACCAAUUUAUCAUCUGAUUAUGGAAGCAAGAUAUUUAAUGCAAAGAAUUUGGAAUUGUGUACAAUUUUGGACCAGUUGUAUGGUUUCACUAAGUUUUCUUCAACUUCUUGUUAUAGCUUUUGUAUUGCCACCUAUAUUUUCGAUUGGUCAAAUUUUGUGGUUGGUGUGCAUUAUUAUUCCUAUUUUGUCCAUAUCAUUGGUUGGAGGUCCUACAGACCCUAAAGUAAUGCAGACACCUACUGGAAAAAAUCAAUGUUCAAUUACUACUGAGCUAUCAUAUUAUGUCUUUUGGUUUUAUGGUUUAAAAUUUUUGCCUGUUAUAAUCAGUAUGAUGAUAUUUUUCAUAUGGACUCUUAGUCAGAUGUGUAACUUAGUCUUUGUUCCUAAAAUUGCAAAUUCUACUACAGAAAUUCAACAAUGUUGGUAUGUUUAUCCAGAAGCUAAACAAACAGAAUGGGGGGGAUGGUCUAAAUAUGAACCAACUAUAAUAAGUGUACAACGAUUAAUGCUAUUGUUUCUUAUUAUGCAUUACAUUAUUGUUUCUUUGAGUUUUGUUCACCGAGAAUAUUUAAUGUGGAAAAGAACCAUUCAUUUAAAUAAAUUUUAUGUUAUUACAAUAAUUAUCAUAAUAUUUGUGCAAUUUACGUAUACCAUUCAUUAUGAGCUUUUUCAUGACAAUACAACAUUUAUUAAUGUAACUAUGUUAUCAACAUUAACAUUCAUUUUCGCAAUUAUUUCACUGUUACUGGUUUUAUUUGUAAACGAAUUUAUUCAUUGGCAAGAAAUAAGAGCUAAUGUAAGGUAUCAAAAACGUGCUAGAUUAGACUUUGGAACUAAACUUGGAAUGAAUUCUCCAUUUUGAAAUUGUUUAUGAUAGAUGAAAUGCUUACUAGUGAAAUAUAAUGUAGUGUUAAGUUAUUAGGACUUUAUUAUUUAAGAAACUAUUUAAUAUUUAGUAAAAAAAAUAUUGUUUUAGCAUCUUUGUACAUUAUGGGAUAAAGAAUUGUUAGUCAGUCAUCAUCAGAAUCUAGCAUUGAAUCAAGCCAAUGACCUGCAUUAGUUUGAUUUGUAUCAACACUCAAUUUUCCAAUUUUCAUUGUUGA